rnacentral:piRNA from 1 species
UGAAGGUACCUCCCGGUUUUUUACACCGA